UCUCCGUCGGUGAACCAGCGGAGGGAUCAUUACCGAGGUUACAACUCCCAAACCCAAUGUGAACCAUACCAAACUGUUGCCUCGGCGGGGUCACGCCCCGGGUGCGUCGCAGCCCCGGAACCAGGCGCCCGCCGGAGGGACCAACCAAACUCUUUCUGUAGUCCCCUCGCGGACGUUAUUUCUUACAGCUCUGAGCAAAAAUUCAAAAUGAAUCAAAACUUCCAACAACGGAUCUCUUGGUUCUG
rnacentral:misc_RNA from 1 species